AUUUUAUAGAGGUGAGACUCUAAUAAACUUUUUGUUGUUGUUGUUUGUCCUUUCUGAAUUGUUUCAAUUUUUAGUAUAGAGGUAAUUUUUGUUAGCAGAGGCGAGCCAAGAACGAAGAAAAAGACUGAGGGAAUUUUGCAGGAGGUACCAACCACAUUCUACUAACCAUUGCAUCAAAAGAAAGAAAAAGGCUGAUGAGCUAAAUAAAGCAGAGUUAAGCAGGGUAAAUAAACUUGUACAGGGUUUCCAGAUACCAAAAGGAAACAAAAAAUGCAGCACAAUUUGCAAACUGAAGACAAUAUAAGAUCAUGCAUGGUGUUCCAACUGAGUACACAACAGAGUUAAUCCAGCAAGACAACAGUUGAGGAAAUAUGCCAUGGAACUCACUGAAUUCAGAGUUUUGUGUGUGGAAACCUAACUGAAAAUAAUGAUGGUCACAGAUCUGUAAAACAAAGCCCUGAUGGAAAAAAUUAAAAAAUCCAGAGACAGAACAAAAUGGUGAAAAUUAAGAAUAGGAGAUGUAAUUUAUUACUUCCAUAAUGAUCACAUCUCAACCCUUGAUGGAACUUUACAACAACAUAAGAAGAUCAAAAGUUAUACAAUCAAUUAUAUGACGCAAAGUCAUCAAGAGAGCAAGGCAAGUUGGCAUAUUUUAAAACAUUGUUGAGGAGAACAGAUGUGACUUGAAAGGUGAAGUCCAAUUUCCAGGGUCAUGCAGAUUAAAAUUGUAGUUAAGGGGCUCAUUGUUGAGCAGUUUUUGUCGUUUUUUGAUAUGCAAAAUGAAAAUGACCACCCCUCCUCUUCUAAUAUUAUUAUUCCAGAUAACAUUUCAUCUACCACUAAAGUUAAUAAAGUAAGGGUUCAACAUGAAAUUUUGGUUCUUUUUUGAAGUAUUAUGGGUAUAUCCCAUCUGAGAACAUGGUCAAUUCUUCAGAUGAAUUAUUUAAUUAUUGUAAUCAAUUAUGUUUAUGGGGAUUACAAUUUUUUGAAAUGGAAGACACAGCAAAGAGGGAGACAUUUGUAGAGUAAUCCCAAAUUUAUCUCACAACAUUUCAUUUUUCUACUCCCACUCUUGCCUGUCAAAGUAUAUGGCAGAAUGUGUUGAUUAUAUCUUAAAGGUUGAAUUUUUCUCCUCACCUUUGAAUAAAUUACACAUUAGAAGGCAGUUUUGUCAAUGUAAAAGGUGGUACAUGUAACAAUACUGAGGCUGACUUGGUACAGGAGCAUCAUGUUAGACUUCAGUAAGAUUUAAUUAAACAGUUAGGUGCUAACAAAUCAAAUGAGGCAAUUUCAAGAACUACAAACGCCAGUAAUAUACUAGCUUCAAUAAUAGAUAAUUUUGACAAAUCAAAUGGUAUAAAAAGGAAAACUCCUUCCUAUACAAAGCCUGUGUGUACUGAGGAUGAGC